rnacentral:lncRNA from 1 species
CUCACUUGGGCAUGUUAAUGCACAUCCUUUGUAUUUACUAGGUAUAAAUGGAGUGCUUUGAAAAACUUUCCUUUUUUUAUUAGGAAGAUAUUUGGAGUACUACUAAAUGAAGUCCUAUUUUCUGUCACUGACCGUGCCAGGAGUUGGGUUUAUUAUUAAUAAUAAUUGUUCUUCUUUUGAAACCUACAGCGGGUUCUUCUCAGGUUUUCCAAUUUUGUAUGGCGUGUAAUUGCUGGUCAUUUCUAAAACCUGUCCAGAGCACACAAAAAAUCAGGGUGGAGAGGCUUUAUGACUUAUGUGUAUAUUCUUGAAAAGUCAACUUGCAAUUUUUCUUCUGUUCUUCCUGAUAACGUCCUUCUGUCCUUUUGUUCCCCUCCCCUUUUUCCCCAUUCCUAGACUUUUCUUCCAUUUUUCAUUAGUAACACACAGCUUAGUUACGUAUUUUCCAUGCCACAUACCUUCAAAUACCUCUUAUAUCUCCUAAGCUUUGCCUUGGUCUCCUUCAUCCUCUAGUACAGAUGUCUGGUGUCGUCUGGUCCACUCUGUAUGGAUGGGAUAAAUCUGAAGUGUACCUUGAGGGUGCCGAGGGCUUAGCAGUUUGAGGUGUGAUCCGCCGUCCUCUCAGUUUGCUUGGGCCAGCUUUGCUUGAAGGUGUGAGGAAGAGGAGCUCGAGGAGGGUUGACAGGAGGCCCAGACCCUGUGCAGCAGAGCGAAAACAUCAACCACAAAGUCCAUAAAACGUCGAGUCCUGGUGGGAGCGCUUGCAAACAUGCUGGAGAACUGGUCUGGGACCUCAAAUUUAGAUUUUACCCUGGAAAAUCACCUUCAACCCGGCAACAUCGAUCGUUUCCCACCUCCCGAGCUCCAACAAGCAGCUGAUGUCCAAACCUGGAGCAGUUUCACCUGUCGUCGGGGCCUGUUUGGAGCUGGUGCAUUCAGGAGCCGCAGGUUGCUUUAUCCUGGCUGGAAAACCCAAUGGCUGGAGUGAGCAGGGAGCACGGCUCUGCUGUCAUACAACCCCUCUCAAUCCCCUUAAUUUUGGCUGAGGAAGGACCCAAGCCUUCGCUUCAAAGUCCCAAAUUUACCUUAAAUUCAGGUAAGGAUCCGGUCACCUGUUGGUGACGGCUUAGGAGCCCGGGAAACACGUAGAAAAUAUUGAGGAUGGAACCCAUAAAGGCUUUUAUGGGCUCCUGAGCAAGGAGGGAACUGAUAUUCAGCAGGACUGAUAUUCAGUCUCCUCCAGCAGGGAGCAGAGGGUGGCCUGACCCCAGAGCAAGCUGCACUCAGGCGCUGUUUAACGACAAACCUUAUAAAUAAGGCCAAACCUCAUAAAAACACUUCCCUGACCUUGGCUCUGGAGCUGUAGGGACACGGGAGCCUGUGUACACGCUGUCCUAAAGCAGCGUCAUCGACCAGCUCGUCCCAGGUGUUACUGGGGCCAU